rnacentral:rRNA from 1 species
GAGUUUGAUCCUGGCUCAGGACGAACGCUGGCGGCGUGCCUAACACAUGCAAGUCGAACGGAACUGUUUUGAAAGAUUUCUUCGGAAUGAAUUUGAUUUAGUUUAGUGGCGGACGGGUGAGUAACGCGUGAGUAACCUGCCCUGGAGUGGGGGACAACAGUUGGAAACGACUGCUAAUACCGCAUAAGCCCACGAUCCGGCAUCGGAUUGAGGGAAAAGGAUUUAUUCGCUUCAGGAUGGACUCGCGUCCAAUUAGCUAGUUGGUGAGGUAACGGCCCACCAAGGCGACGAUUGGUAGCCGGACUGAGAGGUUGAACGGCCACAUUGGGACUGAGACACGGCCCAGACUCCUACGGGAGGCAGCAGUGGGGAAUAUUGCACAAUGGGGGAAACCCUGAUGCAGCGACGCCGCGUGGAGGAAGAAGGUCUUCGGAUUGUAAACUCCUGUUGUUGAGGAAGAUAAUGACGGUACUCAACAAGGAAGUGACGGCUAACUACGUGCCAGCCGCCGCGGUAAUAC